rnacentral:rRNA from 1 species
GUGAGGAAUAUUGGACAAUGGAGGAAACUCUGAUCCAGCCAUGCCGCGUGAGUGAUGAAGGCCUUCGGGUUGUAAAGCUCUUUCGGGUGUGAAAAUGAUGAUGGUAACACCAGAAGAAGCCCCGACUAACUCCGUGCCAGCAGCCGCGGUAAUACGGAGGGGGCGAGCGUUGUUCGGAAUCACUGGGCGUAAAGCGUGCGUAGGCGGUUAUACAAGUCAGGAGUGAAAUCCCAGGGCUCAACCUUGGAAUUGCUUUUGAGACUGUAUGACUAGAGAUCUAGAGAGGUUGGGGGAAUUCCGAGUGUAGAGGUGAAAUUCGCAGAUAUUCGGAGGAACACCAGUGGCGUAGGCGCCCAACUGGCUAGAUACUGACGCUGAGGCACGAAAGCGUGGGGAGCAAACAGGAUUAGAAACCCCUGUAGUCC